CGUUCCAUGGCCAAACUGGUCAAGGCAUCGCUGAUUAUGCGGGUUCGAGUCCAGCUGGAACGG
rnacentral:tRNA from 1 species